rnacentral:rRNA from 1 species
AGUGAACGCUGGCGGUAGGCCUAACACAUGCAAGUCGAACGGCAGCACAGUAAGAGCUUGCUCUUACGGGUGGCGAGUGGCGGACGGGUGAGGAAUACAUCGGAAUCUACUUUUUCGUGGGGGAUAACGUAGGGAAACUUACGCUAAUACCGCAUACGACCUACGGGUGAAAGCAGGGGAUCUUCGGACCUUGCGCGAUUGAAUGAGCCGAUGUCGGAUUAGCUAGUUGGCGGGGUAAAGGCCCACCAAGGCGACGAUCCGUAGCUGGCCUGAGAGGAUGAUCAGCCACACUGGAACUGAGACACGGUCCAGACUCCUACGGGAGGCAGCAGUGGGGAAUAUUGGACAAUGGGCGCAAGCCUGAUCCGGCCAUACCGCGUGGGUGAAGAAGGCCUUCGGGUUGUAAAGCCCUUUUGUUGGGAAAGAAAAGCAGCAGGUUAAUACCCCGCUGUUCUGACGGUACCCAAAGAAUAAGCACCGGCUAACUUCGUG